AGCUCCUCUGAACCCCCUCCUGACAGAGUAACGACUUGUUCCAGUCGUUUACCCUGAGACCGACACCAGAGCCAGGUUCACUUUGAGAGGCAAGGCCCCACCAAGAAAAUAAACUUUUUAACCUGA